AUGGUGUGGAGCUGGAUCGCUCUCUUCAUCCUGUCACUAACUACAGAUGUCCAUUCCCAGCUGCAGCAGUCUGGGCCUGAGCUUGUGAAGCCUGGGACCUCAAUGAAAUUGUCUUGCAGGAUCUCUGAUGGUAUCACUUAUAACUAUAUUUAUUGGGUGAAACAGAGUCCUGGUCAGGGCCUGGAGUGGAUUGGAAGGAUUUAUCGUGGAAAUGGUAAUACUAACUACAAUCAGAAGUUCCAGGGUAAGGCCACACUGACUGCAGACACAUCCUCCAACACAGCCUACAUGGAGCACAGAAGCCUGACAUCUGAAGACUCUGAGGUCUAUUACUGUGCAAGACACAGUGCUGCAACCACAUCCUGA